UCCACACAACACCGGGGGCGGAUGUAUGCACAGGCUACCCCUGGCUGAAGCCAGGGGUAAAUCAAACAAAAAAAAAAUUGAAGGUAGAAAAUGUUAGCUUUAUUUAGUCAACUCCAGCUACACAUAGAGUCAAGCCAGGUUGGAAACGUCCGAGAGCUGAUCAAAAUCUGAAAAAGUGGAUAGUGGAUAUUGAAUGUUGCUUCUGCGUUUUUCCAAGUCUCGGCACAUAAUGUAGUGAAUUGGAAGGAUCUUUGUGGAAGGAGACAAGCUUAAGAUUACCUUUAUUGCACAUGGUAAAGUUCUAUUUUGACUAUCGAUGAAAAAAAAAGUUCUAUUUUGACUAAAAAGAGGAUGUGGUCUAUUCUCUUUCCAUGUUACUACGAGAGUUCUACAGUUUUUACGUAAUAAAGGGAUGCCCAUGGCAGAUUGUUAAAAUAAGGGGGAAGGCCGCAUGCAUCCGCAGGAGGUACAGGGCAUUGUUCUUUGUUAAAUGCCUAAACUUGGCCUAAGAUGGGUUCCUUUACGGGGUUUUGCUGACAACCCUGGGAUCAUCAGGUCAAUUAUUGAUCAUCUGCAGCGGUGAUACUCAGCUAAUGUUUUCUAUUAGUUUAUGAUGCUGCAGACACAUCGGCCGAUAUCUAUUUGUUUAUUACUUCUUGUUAUUUAAUAGGUCAUUUCAGAAUAUUUCACCAAGUUGAUCCCGACAGUCACCCGAAGAGCUUAAGAAGAUGAUUUAAAUGGCCACCUCAUUUCAAGGGAUGUAAAUGGUAGAUGCCAUACCGAGGCUCAAUUAAUUGAUAUCUAUGGUGCAUUGAACUCUUAUGUUGCUUGAAGGUGACUGAUCUAGAAUCCCUAUGUUGCUUGAAGCAAAAAGAGAACGAAUUGUCAGCGUAUCGUUUAGAAUAUGCCAAAGUUAUGGCUGAAAUUUGCUCCAAGAACUAUAAAAAUCUCUGGAUCAUCGCAGCUU